UAGGGUUCUUGGGCCUAGGGUUUUUGAUAGGGCGUCGCUAUCGCUAUGGCGGAUCUGCCGGCGCAAGAGGAUGCCGCUGCUGCGGCUGCGAUCCAGGAGAAAGUGAAACUGGCGCUGAGCGUCGGCGAAGAAUGCACUGGCGCCGAGGAUCUGGCCGCGCUCUUCAAGAACAAGCCGACUCCUCCGAUCUGCUACGAUGGAUUUGAACCGUCUGGCAGAGUCCACAUCGCUCAGGGAGUGAUGAAGGCACUGAAUGUUAACAAAUUGACAAGCUCUGGAUGCGUGUUUAAGUUCUGGGUCGCGGACUGGUUUGCGCAGCUCAACAACAAGAUGGGAGGCGAUCUCCACAAGAUCCAGACCGUGGGGCGCUACAUGAUCGAAGUGUGGAAGGCUGUUGGUAUGAAUCUCAAUCAGGUGGAGUUUCUAUGGUCUUCUCACGAGAUCAACUCGAGGGCCGAGGAGUACUGGAAGCUUGUCUUUGAUAUCGCUCGCAGGAACAAUCUUCCUCGUAUUCUAAGAUGCUCGCAAAUUAUGGGACGGACCAAUCCAAAAGAGCUUUCGGUGUCUGCAAUCAUGUACGCGUGUAUGCAGUGCGCGGAUGUGUUCUUCCUCAAGGCUGAUAUUUGUCAGCUUGGACUCGAUCAGAGAAAAGUGAACAUGCUUGCAAGAGAGUAUGCUUCUGCUACCAAACGGAAAUUCAAACCAAUUAUUUUGUCUCAUCAUAUGCUGCCGGGGCUGAAGGAAGGUCAGCUGAAGAUGUCGAAAAGUGAUCCCGAGUCUGCGAUAUUUAUGGAAGACGAAGAGGAUGAUGUGAACAGGAAAAUUGCAGGUGCGUUCUGUCCGAACGUUGUGGAAGGGAACCCGUGCUUGGAAUACGUGAAGUACGUCGUCAUCCCGUGGCAUGGCCGAUUUGAGCUCUGCCGUUCAGAAGAAAGAGGCGGAAAUCUUACCUACGAGUCAGCUGAGAAGCUGAAUGGCGACUUCGAGUCAGGACUGAUAAGUUCCGAUGAGAUCAAGACGUCUUUGGCAAAAUCACUCAAUCUAAUUCUCCAGCCGGUGCGAGAUCACUUCAAGCACAAUGCUGACGCGAGAGAUUUGCUCGCUCAAGUGAAGUCUUUUAGAGUUACCAGAUGAAGUCUGUCGCAUGGAACAUAUACUCGAAAUAAGGUCUCUGACGUGAAGGAUAGCCCUUGUGAAUGAUCGAACGCGGCACGUCUGGCCAAAAACGUUUGCAGCUUUCUCGGUGAGUCGUGCAACGUACACUACUCACAGGAGGAGGACCCAUCAGCAGCACGCAAAACGCUUUUGCUUUUCAGUGCGAAUCUCGUCCAUUGUCCUCAAAAACGUGAGGAUUAUGUUGCGGUACAAUUAAGAGCAACAAGUUUCUAGCUAAGAUCUUGCUGCGCGAGAGGCUUAGAGAAAAAGUGGCAAGUUUUUGGAAAGGACAGUUCGUUGGGCUCUCCAUUUCACGCUGGGGGAAGAUCCUUCUCCACAGAGAGGGAUAUUCGCCGAAUCGCCGUGUUUUGUUUGCUGCCAUUUGACUUGGCUUGCAAUCUAUGGCACAUGAUGUUUGAACUGGGAAAUAUUCAGCAGAUAUUCUAGCU